UGGGGAAUAUUGCGCAAUGGGCGAAAGCCUGACGCAGCAACGCCGCGUGAGUGAUGAAGGCCUUCGGGUCGUAAAGCUCUGUCGGAGGGAACGAAUGCUCUUGAGGUUAACAGCCUCGGGAGGUGACGGUACCCUCAAAGGAAGCACCGGCUAACUCUGUGCCAGCAGCCGCGGUAAUACAGAGGGUGCAAGCGUUGCUCGGAAUCAUUGGGCGUAAAGGGCGUGUAGGCGGUAUGUUAAGUCAUGUGUGAAAUCCCUCGGCUCAACCGGGGAACGACGCAUGAAACUAGCAAGCUAGAGUACCAAAGAGGGUGGUGGAAUUCCCAGUGUAGAGGUGAAAUUCGUAGAUAUUGGGAAGAACACCAGUGGCGAAGGCGGCUAACUGGUCCGGUACUGACGCUGAGGUGCGAAAGCGUGGGGAGCAAACAGGAUUAGAUACCCGUGUAGUCCCUGAGCGGGCUGGCAAGGCGCAU
rnacentral:rRNA from 1 species